rnacentral:rRNA from 1 species
GAUCAUGGCUCAGGACGGACGCUGGCGGCGUGCUUAACACAUGCAAGUCGAACGAGAAUCUGUGGAUCGAGGAUUCGUCCAAGUGAAGCAGAGGACAGUGGCGGACGGGUGAGUAACGCGUGAGGAACCUGCCUUUCAGAGGGGGACAACAGUUGGAAACGACUGCUAAUACCGCAUGAUACAUUUGGGUGGCAUCAUCUGAAUGUCAAAGAUUUAUCGCUGAAAAG